rnacentral:lncRNA from 1 species
UUUUGAUGAAACAGCUGAGAGCAAGAGCUCUCAGAAUUUGUGAAUGGAAUUGUCAGAUUUUUGUGUAUUGGGAAAUUUCAUCAGAUGUAGAACUCACAUAAUACACAGAAAACGAUUGAGAAAGAGUAAAUAAAAACGAUUUAGAAGUUGACAUGACAAAUUAGGUAAGGAAUUUUUAUUAAAUUUAUAAUUAUUUAUGUUUCAAUCAAAGAUACUAAGACUUUUUGUGAUUGACAGAUAUAUACAAUGUCAAUGUCAAGUAUGAAUGAAAUGUCUGUUAAUUACUACAAAUCAUUAGAUCAUUGAAUGAAUAAAUAAUGCAUUUUCAUUCUUAGAUGCUUUCAAAAUUCAGGUAUGCAAAUAUUGAUUUUGUAUUUAUAAUUUUAUACAUGUUAAAAAUUGAUGCAUAAUUAAAAAGAUUUUAUUGAGCUAUUUAUUGAGAAUUUCAAACAAAAAUUUCUGAUAUUGGACUAUUUAAAAUAGUAAAUUUUUAAUUAAGGAAGUAAAAUUUGUAAAUAGUAGCACAUUUACAGGUCUAUUAGUUGAACCAAACAAUUUUGUUGCUCAGCUCGGUUAUAAAUAUUUUUCAUUAUAUUUUUUUUGUACAUUAAAAAUAUAAUUAGGCCAUUUAAGUUUUCUGGUUUGAAUUGUUCUACAUUUGUCAAUUUCGGGGCCUUAUAUACAAAUGUAGCUGACUAUAAGGUAUGGGCCUUUGCUCAUUGUUGAAGGUUGUUUAGUGACCUAUAAUUGUUAAUAUCCGUGUCAUUUAGUCUCUUGUGAAGAGUUGUCUUAUUGGCAAUCAUACCACAUCUCCUGUUUUAUAAGUAUUAUUGUUAUUUCCAGCCUGUGGCAUCAGAAUUGUGUGUACACACAGUGUCACACACAUUUUUAUUUUUAAGACAUCUUUCAAGAGACAACUAACCAAUUUAGUUUUACAUCUUUCAAUGACCAUUCACUUUAUAUUUUUUUUAAAAACCUAGAGGUUCUAACCACUACAUAAGUAAUUUUUGUUUUGGCCUUAGAGUGACCACUCACAUAAAAUUGAUUAACACUUCAAUGUGCUGAUUUCUGCUGUUAAAAUUAGGAAAUAUUGAUCUUGAUAGUGCUUCAUAUUGUAUUCUCAUAGACAUACCACCUGUCAAAGACAGAAUUGUGUCAUUGUACACAGUAGAUUUGUGUCAAUAGUGCCAUCACAACUAGCCAAUUGCAAAAUCAAACCAAAAGUUGUUAAGGACUUCAUGUACAUUAUACCUCAGACCUUAUUUGUUUUAGGGAUAAUUAAUGGUUGUUAACAUGAUCAACUGUUACAGUACAAUGUUUAUGUACAAAAAUGUAAAGAUCAUUGAAAUGAGACUAAAGGUUUCUACAGGGUCAGUAUAUUAAAGAAUAAGUUUGUUCCUGUGGGUCAGGAUUUUAACCCUCUUCAAAACUUUCAGUCCUGCGGAAGACAUGUAGUCUUAAAAUUGUUUCAACCCUGAAGAUUUUUUUUUAUGAUUUGCUGGCGCAUUGGAAUGUCCCACAUUAAUUCACCAAAGCAUCUGGGACUUAACAUGCUAAAAGAAAAUUGGAAACCUUAUAUCAUUUUAAACCAGUUAAUCAGAUUGGAUCAAAUAAGAUUGAUUGAUUGAGUUUUUGGUGUUUAAUUCCUCUUUUUGUACCAUCAGACUAUAUGGGCUGUUUAGUGGCAGCCAGUUUCUAUGGAAGAUCAGAUAAGAACAUUUCAUCUCAUAACACCAAGAUUAAGUUAUAAUCAAAUUGACCCCAGGCAAUUAGAAACAAAAGUAAAACAAACUGGAUAGCUGAGCUGUUAAUAUGGAAACCUUGUUAAUGGCUUAUUAAUACUUGCUUUUAACUUAGUAAUGCCGAUUUUCAUGUUGAAUCGAACUAUGAUAGAAUAUCUGAAUGUGAUAAAAAUCAGAAAGGCGAAUCACAUCCUCUUUGUUACUAUGUAUAACGCCUUGAAAUUAUUGACAUAUUUGGUAGUGAAGUUUGAUAUAAUAUGACUUCCUAUCUUGAUUUUUAAAGGUUUAAUUGCUUCAAGCAUAAGACUAGUCUAACCGUUUUGACAAUGAUUUUAUUAUUCUCGUAAAAAAUGUGUAUGAAAUUAAUGGACUGAUCAUAAUUGUGCAUCAGUGCAGAAGUUUCAAAUCAUCGGAUUUUAUUAUAAUGUAAGAUAAAUGUCUUAUAUAAGUCUUUUGAAUUUACUGGGAACGUCAGGUAAAUGCUAUUUUUGUAGACAAAUAUUACAACAAUAAAAAGGUUUUAAAUUUUCAGUAUGACAAUAUAGCAUAUAUAUUUUUAUUUAUUAUUUUUAUAAUUGAUACGACCUUGAUACUCAUGAUGGCCAAUUACAGUCAAUAUUUGUUAUGUUUUAAAUUCAAAUAAGUAAUUAUGAUAUUUAAAAAACAUUAUUUUAACUUUUUAAAGUCAUAAAGGGGUGCAAGAGUUAAAAACUUAAUAAGUCUAUAAAAUAAUUUUUGUUGUUGUAGAUUAUAUUGAUGUCCAAGAAUUGCAGUAAAUAUUUUUAUGGCCCAUUUAUGGGCAUUAGGUUUUUAUACGACCGCAAAUUUUGAAAAAAUUUUCGUCGUAUAUUGCUAUCACGUUGGCGUCUGCGUCGUCGUCGUCGUCGUCGUCGUCGUCCGACGUCCGAAUACUUUUAGUUUUCGCACUCUAACUUUAGUAAAAGUGAAUAGAAAUCUAUGAAAUUUUAACACAAGGUUUAUGACCAUAAAAAGGAAGGUUGGUAUUGAUUUUGGGAGUUUUGGUCCCAACAUUUUAGGAAUAAGGGGCCAAAAAGGGCCCAAAUAAGCAUUUUCUUGGUUUUCGCACCAUAACUUUAGUUUAAGUUAAUAGAAAUCUAUGAAAUUUUGACACAAGGUUUAUGACCACAAAAGAAAGAUUGGGAUUGAUUUUGGGAGUUUUGGUUUCAAUAGUUUAGGAAUAAGGGGCCAAUAAAGGGCCCAAAUAAGCAUUUUUCUUGGUUUUUGCACAAUAACCUUAGGUUAAGUAAAUGGAAAUCUAUGAAAUUUAAACACAAUGUUUAUGACCACAAAAGGAAGGUUGGUAUUUAUUUUGGGAGUUUAGGACCCAACAGAUUAGGAAUUAGGGGCCAAAAAGGGACCCAAAUAAGCAUUUUUCUUGGUUUUCGCACUAUAAUGUUAGUAUAAGUAAAUACAAAUCUAUGAAAUUUAAACACAAGGCUUAUGACCAUAAAAGGAAGGUUGGUAUUGAUUUUGGGAGUUUUGGUCCCAACAGUUUAGGAAAAAGGGGCCCAAAGGGUCCAAAAUUAAACUUUGUUUGAUUUCAUCAAAAUUGAAUAAUUGGGGUUCUUUGAUAUGCCGAAUCUAACUGUAUAUGUAGAUUCUCAACUUUUGGUCCCGUUUUCAAAUUGGUCUACAUUAAGGUCCAAAGGGUCCAAAAUUAAACUUAGUUUGAUUUUGACAAAAAAUGAAUCGGUUGGGUUCUUUGAUAUGUUGAAUCUAAAAAUGUACUUAGAUUCUUGAUUAUUGAAGUUUUUUUUGGUCCAGUUUCAAAUUGGUCUACAUUAAGGUCCAAAGGGUCCAAAUUAAACUUUGUUUGAUUUCAUCAAAAAUUGAAUCCUUGGGGUUCUUUGAUAUGCCAAAUCUAACUGUGUAUGUAGAUUCUUCAUUUUGGUCCUGUUUUCAAAUUUCAAAUUCUACAUUAAAGUCCAAAGGGUCCAAAAUUAAACUAAGUUUGAUUUUAACAAAAAUUGAAUUCUUUGGCCUCUUUGAUAUGCUGAAUCUAAACAUGUACUUAGAUUUUUGAUUAUGGGCCCAGUUUUCAAGUUGGUCCAAAUCAGGAUCUAAAAUUAUUAUAUUAAGUAUUGUGCAAUAGCAAGUCUUUUCAAUUGCACAGUAUUGUGCAAUGGCAAGAAAUAUCUAAUUGCACAAUAUUGUGCAAUAGCAAGUAUUUUCAAUUCAGUAUCUUUGCAAAUAGUAAGCAAGAAAUAUCACAAUAUUGUGCAAUAGCAAGAAAUUUUUUUAAUUGGAGUUAUCUUUCUUUGUCCAGAAUCAACUUAAAUCUUUGUUAUAUACAAUAUACAAUGUAUAUACACUUUUUACUACCAACUGAUAAAUUUAAAUAAUCUUUACCAUUCAGUGAUAACAAGCAGUUUUUUUACAUCUUAAUAUUUUAUGAUGUAUUUAAAUGAGUAGUUAUUGUUGCAAACUCCAUUAGAAAUUUGAAUUGAUAUCAGUUUUGAAAAAGGGAAACGGGGAUGUGAAAAAAAGGGGGGGGGGGGUUAAAUUUUCUCAUUUCAGAUUUCAUAAAUAAAAAGAAAAUUUCUUCAAACAUUUUUUUGAGAGGAUUAAUAUUCAACAGCAAAGUGAUUUGCUCAAAGGCAAAAAAAACCUUUUAAGUUCAUUAGACCACAUUCAUUCUGUGUCAGAAACCUAUGCUGUGUCAACUAUUUAAUUUUAGAUUUAAAAAGUUUGAAGAAGAAAUCUUUAAUUGAUUUGUAAAAUCUUGGCAUUUGUUUUGUGUAAAAAAAAACCAUGUAAUGUCAAAAAUUUGAUCACAAUCCAAAUUCAGAGCUGUAUCAUGCUUGAAUGUUUUGUCCAUACUUGCCCCAACUGUUCAGGGUUCGACCUCUGCGGUCGUAUAAAGCUGCGCCCUGCGGAGCACCUGGUUUGGUCUGUGGCUCCGUUUGUCUGUCCUGCUCCUGGUUAAAGUUUUUGGUCGAGAUAGUUUUUGAUGACGUUGAAGUCCAAUUAACUUGAAACUUAGUAUACAUGUUCCCUAUGAAAUGAUCUUUCUUAUUUUAAUGCCAAAUUAGAGAUUUUAUCCCAUUUUCACGGUCCACUGAACAUGUGAUAGUGUGAAUGGGGCAUCCUUGGGUUAUGGACACAUUCUUGUUGGUAUUUUGAUUAAUCUGACAAUACAGAAAAAGGGGAACAAUCAAAGAAAUAUAAUUAUCAUGUUUUCUUGGCUAAAAAAAAGAAGAGGAAAGUAAUUCUAUUCAGAAUCCUUUCCAGACCCAUUCCCCCAUCUCCCCUUUCCCCCUGUUUCUGUCUAUGUCUUAGAUACAGGAGGCAAUCAUGCUAGUCAUGUGCAACAAGCUAUUUUUUAAGGCACAUCUUUCCUCUGGGACUAAUACAUUUUGUAAUAUCUAUCAUUUUUAUCGAAAUAAAAAUUUCCAUAUUUUAAAGUCCUCAACAGUGGUCUUUGCUUGAAGAAAUUAUAUUGUUUAUUGGCCUCUAGAUGUUUUUUUCUUUAUUGAUGUGAGGUUGCUGUCUUGUAGAGCUGAUACCCCAUAUCACAUUUUGAUCAUUUUUGAUGUGUCUGGUAGGGUUAAAGAUUCAUAGCCGGGCAUGCAAGAUUAGCAUAAAUCAAUUAAAACUGUCAUUAACAGUUUGAAGUAGCUUAGCCUGCUAAUCAUUAUGGCUAUUGACACUUAAUAUAAGUCCAUUUAAUUAACAAUUACUUAUUAUGUGUUAGCCAUUUAAAUAUACACAAGAGAUUGUUGAACUUUUUUGAAUUGGGGUGAAUAUUUACUUAACCUUUUAAAUCUAAACCAAAUAUUAUCAUUGAAUACACAUCAACCUUUAGGGUAUAUUGAUAUCUUCCAUUCAUUAAAGUUAAAAAUGGCCUUUUGACUGGACCAUAAAUUUUUUAAUGUACUGAUAGUGGUCAAAAGUACCAGUGAUUGACUUUUACACAAUAUAAACUUACUAGUAUUAUAAAAUCAUACUUUCCAAAAUGUUUUUGUGAGGCCAGUUUUAAAGAGCUUUUAUUCAUUUUGGUACUUUUGUAGUUAAUUUGGUAAUGUAGAUUUCCAGUUCAUUGUAUUACAUAAUUGCACUUAAACUUGAGGUUGUAAAUUAAUAACAAUCUUUGUCUUAGAUUUUGACUUUCCUGUUUGGUUCCUUGUCAGUCUUUGGUGAAAGUAAAUCUCAGUGGCAAUCAUACAAACUAUCCUUGUUUUUAAACUAUAUUUUAUUGGGCCUUCAAAAUUUUCCAAAGACAUUUGGAUUCUAUACAACAACUUAAAUAUAUAUGUAUGGAUCUGUAUGAAAUUGUACCACAAGGUUCUAUACCACGAAAGGAAGGGAUUUUGUUCCAACUGCGUAUGAAUAAGGGCCUAAAACAAGCAUUUCCUUUGUCUCAGGACAAUAUUUAAGAGCUGCUUCAAAGCUUGAAUGUUGUGUCAAUACUUGUGGACGUAUCAAGCUGCGAAGCAUUUUAUUUCAAUUAGGCCAUAUAAAAAUGUAUGUGUGCACAUGGUUCCAGUACCCUACCACCCUACUUUUUAGUCUCUGUAAUAGCCUACCCUAAAGACUUUUGCCAUUUUGCAUUAAGCACUGUUAAAGUCAGAAUGUUUUUCCCAUAGACUCAAUGUAAGAAUAAAACAAAAAAUUUUUAAAAAUCCCUACCGACCUACCCUAAUAUUUGUUAGAUGUAACUGUAACCACACAUAUUAUUUUAUUUGGCCUUAUUUAAAAAUUGUCUGGUAGCUUAGAACAAUGCAUCUUUAAGUUAAUUUUUGAGAUUUCAAAUAUUUUUUUUACUUAUCUGUUGGUAUUUUUUUCAUGCCUUGAUAAAAUAAACAUUUAAAUAAACAAUUUUUUUCCCAUAUCAUAUAUUUAUUUUUGGUAUUUUAUACAAUAGAGUUGUAAACAUCUGUUUCAUACCUUAUGUAUUUAUGCAAUUUACCUACGGCAAAACUAAUACUAUUUCUUGAUUUUUGUUGUAAAUCAUGAUCAAGGACUAUAUUUUUUGUUGAUUUGACAUAAAAUAUACAUAUUAUAAUAAUAUUUAUAGUAAACGCCUAAUAUAAAAUGUCAAUAGAUGUAAAUAUGCUGUUUUAGACAGUUUCAAGGGAGAUAAAUUACAAAUUGGAAUGAAUGUAAGGAUGUAACAUAAUGAGCAGGUAUUUAAAGUAAACAUAUUUAUUCUAAAACAUAAAAACGGGAGGAAAAUUGAGUAAAACUGUUGAAACUUUAAAAAAAUUGCAAAAAUUUGGAAUAAUAUAGUGGAAAGGAAUAUAUCAAAGAAUUGAUGUUUUUUUUUUUUUUUUUUGACAAAUUGUGACUAUUAGAAUUGAGACUUAAUUAAAGUGGGUCUCAUUGGGGAGGUUCUGAUCCCGGAUCCCCCUUACUGUUUUGUCAGAUUCCCGUAACCCAGUUGCACUAUGUAUGCAAUUCUCAUUUUUUUGUAAUUUCCUGUUUCCCGCUAGACUUCAUUUCCUGUUUUCACGACACAAUAAUGUGACUUUCACGUGUCACGCUUACAAAAAAUCGGCACACUAAUAUUAUAAAAUGAAUACCCUCACAGAAUAUAAAAUUAAUGAAUAUUUGAAUCCAUUAUUUUUAUUUUUAAUGUAAAAUUCAUUAGGUUAAAUGAUAUGUACAUGUAUGUUAUUGUUUUAGAUAGAAUUACUGCUAUUUGCCCCAUUUAACAAAGGAUUCGUUUUGCCUCAGUGGGAUGCAGAUUAUUUCCAUUCCAAUUAGUCUGAAGUAUUAUUCCCAGACCUGUGUUAUUAUGGAAUAUGCAGAAAUUUAGUGUUGAAAUAUAAAUAAGAUCUCUGAAAUUACACAUUACAUACAGAUAGACGUGAGAAUAUGAUAAUUUACAUGUAAAAUAUAAAAGAUAGAUUCAAAAAUAAAAUUCUUAAUAAUGGUUUGAUUUUAUAUCCAUUGAAUAUUUUUGAUACUAUAAAAAAUGCAUUAGAGAUCACUUGAUUUAUUUAAAGAAAUAUUUUAUUUUAUAGUAAAGUCAUUCUUAAAUGAAUUAAAGCAAACGUUAUAAAGAAAAAAUCUUAAUUCCGUUAAUGCUGAAAAAAUUAUUACAUUCAUGAGAUAACAGAAAAUGGAAGGGUACACCUUUUAAUUUUUUAAUACACUAUAAAUUAGAGAAGAAAAUCGGGUCAGUUUGCAGUGGUGUUCAGUUCUAUGAUCUCCUCCUGAAUGGAAUCCAGUUAAAUUAUCUCCGCUUGACUUGAAUCCAGUUUAAUUAUCUCCUCAUGAAUAGAAUCCAGUUUAAUUAUCUCCCCUUGAAUUGAAUCAAGUUAAAUUAUCUCCCCUCCUGAAGAAUUGAAUCAGUUUAGUGAUACCCUGAUAUCCAGUUUAUUCCUAAUUCUGUAAAUUUGUUUAAAUGCUUAUUACCAGUAUAACAUUUCCAUAAAGAUAACCAAUGUUUUAGAUUCACAUCAUGACAAGUUUGAUGGAAGGUCAUUAUUUAUAGUUACAAAUGUGCAUCUCGGGGCCCUUGUCCCAAACUUGAACAAACAAAUAAUGAUUAAACUAUAAUAGAUAAUGGAGGAAAUGGGAGGGUGGGAAACAGAUAUGCAAUUUGGUUGAAAAGAACCUAUGACAGUUCUGAUUAUACAUUUCUAAAAGUAGAAUCAAUGCUUUGGCAAGAAAAUAUUAUUUGGUCAGAGGGAAAAAAACAUUGCCACCUUAAAUAAGUGAUUAUGCACUUUUAUAUUAUUCUGUGGGUGAAAAGAAGAUGGUCAAUAAAAAGCAGAAAACAUCUUCCACAUUGUUUACAAGAUGUAGUUUAUUUUAGAACCUCCCCUAAUGACCAAUUAUUUUGCUUGCUGACAGUUGAUCAUUAUGGAGCCAUUACGACAGGAAGUUCAUUUUUAGAAGUUCUGGAAUUAGCUUUUAGUAAGACAUAAAAAAUAAUUGUCUGUAAGAAAAGAACUACUGAUAAAGAUUCUUUGAUUAGCUAGCCAGUUUAUUAAAAGUUUUAUGGUUAACUCAAUUUCAGAAAACAAAUGCUAAAUUGAUCUGCUCUGGGUUAAUAGUUUAAAGUUCUGUAAUAAAAUGGAAUGGAACAUUCAAAUAUCAUUAUUUUCAAUAUUGGAAUAAAUGUAACCAUUGUAAAGAAAGACUUUAUUUAUAUAUAGAAGCUUUUUAUUUGAAGGCAAUUAACAUCUUGUAGUAUAUUCAGAUGGAACAUUUGUAGCACAUUUUUUUGGAGUACAUUUAGGUGGAACAUCUUGUAGUACAUUUAGGUGGAACUUCUUAUAGUACAUCUUGUAGUACAUUUAGGUGGAACAUCUUAUAGUACAUCUUGUAGUACAUUGAGGUGGAACAUCUUGUAGUACAUCUAGGAAUGUUCUAGUAUCUGUUUUUAUUGUCUGUCAUUCACUCAUAGAAGCUCUAGUAAUGAUCGUAUGAAAGGAAAUCUUUAUUGAAAAAAUGGCAUGGACCCUAAGCUAGCUAUAAACUGACCAUUCCCACUUUUAUGUGUUUCUAUAAGAUAACAUUUUUUUCCUGAUUUUAGAUUUGAUUUGAUUUCUUUAUAUAUUUACUUUACCCUAACAUUUCAGUGAUUUUAACCUUGACCUUUUACAUAAGAAGUUGGUACUGUGACCUGAGAUAGUUCACAAAUCUGUCUAAUUGUCACAACUGGAUAGUUGUCUUAUUGGCAAUCAUACCAAAUCUCAUUAUAUGUAUAGUGAUUAUCCUUUAGGGAUUUUGGUGUUGAUAAUAAAUCUUUGAUGGAUGCUGAUAAAUUUAUUCCAUACUUUCUUACACAUAUUGUGUUGGCAUCAUGGGCAUUUUAAUUUACUGUUAAAGAAGGUAUAUUGAUCUCAGUAGAAUGAUGCCUUUUUUUCCAUUGGUGCUUUUAAGAAUGAUGUCUUCAAUUCCAUUGGUACUUUUGGGUUGCUGUCCAGUUAAUGUUUAGUUAUUAGUCCCCACCUGAUGAAAUCAAAGGGGACUUAAGGUUUGCACUCAGUCACAGUCCGUCUGUCUGUGUGUCCAUCCAUCAGUCUGACAAAUCAUUUUACCACAUUUUUUUUUUCUUUAUGCUUGAUUUCGAAGAUAUUGAUUUAAUAUUUGGUGUAUUGUUUUAUCAUGCCAAAUUACAGAUCAAAUUGUUGAAUAUUGAUUGGUCUGAUGAUUUGGUGCAGAUUUAUGGUCCUUUGACUUAGAAAAUUCACUAAAAUAAUCAGUUUCCUCACUUUUUUUUAUCAUUCUUGAAGAUUUAAUAAUUGGUAUAUAGCUAUAGUUUAUUAUUAGAAGUUAUAGGUCAAGUUUGAAAUUUGUUCAGGUCUUAUGAUUUUGUGGAGAGUUAUGGUCCUUGGACUUUGAAAAAAGCGUCUUGCUAUAAUGGUCUCUGUAUGCAUUUUGCAGACAAUGGAAUAACAACGAUUUUGAUCUAAUAUAAAUUUUAAGCACUCCAUAAUUAAAAUAAAAUGAAAAUUAAGGUAUUCUUAAAUAACUUGCUACAACUCUGCUGUAAGUUAUCAUAUCUGUCUUAGACUCUUUCCACAAAAAAAACUUAGAAUUAAAAUUCAUUUUUUAUAUUUAAACAAGUAAUUUAACCACCGAUUUGUUUUCGGGAAAAAGAGCCACAUUUUGAAAACAAAAAUUUUAACGGUAAGUUGUGAGAAGUACAGCACAUGUGACAGAGCUUACUUAGAGACUUCACAAUAUCAGUAUAUUUUAAUGUUUGCAAAGUUGGUUAAAAGAAAUACAAAUAAGACUACCGACACAUUGCAUGUUUAUUUUAAGACUAUUUCAUUUAUUAGAGAAUAAUUGUAAUUAUGGUCAUUACAGUAAACAUUUCUAUAUUUGUCUAUCUCUUCAGAUGAUUUAAUUGCUACAUGUACCAUCACCAUUAACCCUUACCGUGACUUGAUCAAAACUUCAAUUACGAUUCUAAAUUACGGAACUCCUCAUCAUCGAGUAAAAUAUUUUUCAUUACCAAUUCCCUAUUUCCAAUCGUGUAAAUGACAGUGAUGACUAAUGAACUAUUUUUGCAUGUCAAGUUGCUAAAAAUAAAAUGUUUUCACCAAAUCAAAUUCAGCAAUAAAUGAAUAAGAUUAGUGGUUAACCAAGGUUUCGUUUUGUCUUUAAAUUGAUAAUACUAUUGUGUAAUAAGGCUUCGCUACAACAGGAGCAUGGAUAUCAGAAAAACUCUGAAGUUUAGUGUCGUGGAAAAGUAAUAACUGAGACAUUAUGUAAUAUUGAGUAAAAUCAGAACUUUUUUUGAAAAUAUGAUGUGGAUAUUGUUUUUGGAUGAGAAAGUACAGGAAUAAUUGAUUUGUAAGAUGUAGAUAACAUUUCUGAUCUAAUUAACAUGAAGAUACCAUAUGUAGUGUUUAAACCAUGAAUUUUUAAAUGGAAAACCUAUAAGAUUUACUGUGGAUUCAUUAAUAUUCGUUGGAUACCAAUUUUCGUGGAUUUUGUGGGGACAGGGGAACCACGAAUUUAAAUGUUCAGCAAAAUACAGAUUUUCUAAAGAAAUUAAUGUAUGCAGUAUUUGCCAAAACAACGAAUUUACAUAUCCACAUAUAUGCAAGUUUUCAUCAAUCCACAAAAAUUGGUACCCACGAAAAUAAAUGAAUCCACAGUACUCUGAAACCCAAAACUACAGAAAUCUAUCCUUCAAUACUGUACCCUUGAAAAUUCAACACCAAAGGCAAAUGACUCGACAAGGAAACAAUGGCUGACAAUUUUAACCAUUUUUUGCUACAUCAUCACAUUCCACAGAGAAGAUGGGCACCAGUGAUGUCAAUAAGUAGCACUAUCAUUAAACAUGUACUUUGAUAUCAUUAAGAUAUGGAAAUUGGAGGGAGGGGACUUACAUUUUUUACUAAUUUCAAGAAUUAAAUAAAUUCAUGAAAAAUAAUACCUCACACAACAAUAUCAAAGUCAGAAAUGUGAAAAAAGUAUAAGGUUUGGCCCUAAAAAACAUAAUAUUUAAACUAUGUGGUGUUCAGUUUGUUAACAUUGGAACAGAGAUUUUUGUUUUUGGGAUACGAUUGCUUUCAAGCAAUCUGUAGUCUUAUACGAUUGGCUCAGGGUGUCAUGCCCUCACGUCAACCGUUUUAUUCUAAACAUUAAGGAACAUCUCAGAUUCUUAUGAUUGUCUUGGUUUAAAAGGUAAUUAAAAACAAACAAAUGGAUUGAACUUAAACAACUUUCCUAUAAUGUUCUUUUCAUAAUCUUCAUGUUUGAUAUUUCCCUUGACUCAUAUGCAUGUUUUUAACAACACGGAAAAUCAGAAUUAAGCUAUAUUUAUAUUUAGUGUUUUUAUAAAUUUAGAAACAGGUCAGAGGGAAUUCCCCAGUUGUGAUAAAAAUGUGAGAGUUCUCUGAAUUCCGAAAAAUCUAUUUCUGUCAUAUAAGAACUGAAGUGAAGUUUUUCUUAUAUGUCACUGUUAUGAAACUGAUAUUUGAUAAUGUACUUCCAUAAAGAAAUAGAGAACUAUCUAGGUCGUUUAAUUAAUGUACGUUCUUGCUCAGGGUUUGUUUAGGUAAUUAUGUGCAUGCAUAUAGUUUUCUUGACUUCAAGGGGUAUUAGAUUGAAUGGUUGCUCUGGAUUCCCCACUCAAUUGAUUAAUUUAUAACUCCUGGGAUCCUUUCUAUGUAUGUCUGCUAUUGAGGGUUAUUGUUGUUGCAUAAUUUUAAAUCAUAUGCAUCAUUUAAAUUAAAAUAAAUGUAGUCCACAUCGUAAAAGUAACUACAACACCCCUUCAGGCGAAAUGGAAUCUUCCAUAUUAUCGUUUCGAGUUGUCUCCCUUCUGGAAGUAACUUCCGUGAAUUCUGAAUCAAGACGUUGAGAAAAAUAAACUUGUUAUGUUGAUAAAGGUCGUGUUAUAUUAAAAAUGAUCGCAAUUUAAACCGAGGAAUGUGUACGGAAAGAAGUCAUGAUCACUGACCCAAAGGAAAUUAAAUAUUUAAAGAGUUAGGAAUGGGGUUCCUCCUAGAAUUAAUGUAGGAAAAUAGAUACAUGUAAGAUACGAAGUGAAAUACCUUCUCUCCCUCUGAGUCUCAGUGACUGCUGAGGAAAGUAAACUUAAAAUUGAUAGUACAAAACUAAAACACAAUAGGCCGAAGUAUAUUGUUCACAUACUUUUAUCCGGGAUUGGCCGUAUAUUUUACAUUUUUCAUCUGCAGUUGAAUUAGUUUUAUAACCCUCAGAGCAAUCUGCUCUUUGAUUUAUUACCUCUUUGAAAAAUAUGUCUGUUUAAUCUUAUAUUAUGGACAGAUAAUCAAAAUUAUCAUUGUUUUCGGUGUUAAAAAUCAGUGCACUGUAUGUAUCAUACCAAAUUUGACUUUACAAUGUGCAUUUUAGUAAUAACUUUAUAAUAAAUAAUAUACAAUAAUGCAGUAGAAGAGUGCUUCUAUAACAAAUAUAAUCAACCAUUUAUAGGUACUUGAAUGACACUAAACAACUAUUUAUAUCAGUUUCCAUACAUGGUACAUUUGUAUAUUAAAUCAUGACACAAAGUCACUUAACAUGCUCUAAAUUGACAAAUUUGAUAGAACAGAAACAGCAUUUGUAUUUCUAUUCAUCUCAAAAGUUUUAAUGUGGAAUUCAAAUUUGUUCAAUAUCUCAGGCCUUACUGAAAGAACAAAAUGGCCCCUUAGUAAUGAUUUUAGUAGAAUUUUUUGCAAGAUAUAGAUCCCAUUUCAUUAAAGAACACAGCUGCAGUGUUAUAAUGAUAGAUUUUAAGCAAUAUCUUGCAAAGAAGUUUAACAAAUGCUGUCUCAAAUUGCCUGACACCUUCACCUCAAAUUACAGAAACAAUACCAACAUAUCAGACAACCACAUGGCGCAUCAGAAUAUUUUCAGUUAACAUAGUCAGAAAUCAACUAUUUCUCGCUUCGUUUUAGUGACGUUUCAAUUCAUUAUUUUUUAAUUGUUUGCUUUUGUCAAAGUUUCAAGUAUCUUUACCUAUAUAGAAAAUAUUGAUAAUAUCAUUGAUUUAAGGAAAUGUCUAUACAAUUAAUAGAUAGUUGGCUGCACUUGAAAUUACGCAAUCUUUCAAUGUUUGCAUUUUUAUGCAAGUAAUUCUGUGUAUACAAAGAUUGUCUUUGAUUAAACUCUUUGGUCCACAGCAAUAAAAGGCAUUCUAUUUUGAUAAUGUAAAAGCAGAGGGGGCCCAUUGGAAUUAGUAAUUGCAUUACAGCUAAGACGGAUUUUCUUUUUUUCAUGACUCCAUUAUCAGUCUAUAGUGAAAUUGGCCUUAUAAGGUUAGUGAAACUUCAAGCUUUUUAACAUUUCUAAGCUAACAUAGAAGAUAACAUGAUUUUUUUCAUGUUUUAUCACAAGACUUGAAAGACCAAUUUAGUGAUCUAAGCAUAUACAGUACAAACAAGAUGAUUCAGUGAAUAUGAUGUACAUUAUUAUAGAGUUUAGUGAUUCAGUGAAAAUGACUGUACACAUAGAUAUAUCAUCUUUUUGCUUAAAAAUAAAAAGAUUUAUACCUGAAUUUUUAUUCAAUUCAUGCAUGCAUAUAAGACAAUGUCACUUGUGUCAAAUCGUGGAACAUUUUCUUGGUCUAGUUGAGAUUUAAGAGCUUUUUGCAUAAAGGUACUGUAUAUUGCUGUAAGCAGUUAAAGCUAGAUAUCAGAUGUUAUAAUUUACAUGUAAUGCCCCAUUUACCUUAUUUUGUGUAUAAAUCUGUUGCCUCAGUUUUUAUAUGACCGCAAAAAAAUUUUGCGGUCAUAUAUGGUAUGACAUUGGCGUCAUCGUCGUCUUCCUUGUCGUCUUCCUCGUCGUCCUCAUCCGAAGACACAUUGGUUUUCGCACUAUAACUUUAGUUUAAGUAAAUAGAAAUCUAUGAAAUUUAAGCACAAGGUUUAUGUCCACAAAAGGUUGGUUAGGACUGAUUUUGGGAGUUUUGGUCCAAACGGUUUAGGAAUAAGGGGCCAAAAAAGGGCCCGAAUAGGCAUUUUUCUUGGUUUUCGCACAAAUUUUUAUAACUUUAGUAUAAGUAAAUAGAAAUCUAUGAAGUUUAAACACAAGGUUUAUGAACACAGAAGGAAGGUUGGGAGUGAUUUUGGGAGUUUUGGUUCCAACAGUUUAGGAAUUAGGGGCCAAAAAGGGGCCCAAAUAAGCAUUAUUCUUGUUUUUCGCCAAUAACUUUAGUAUAAGUAAAUAGAAAUCAGUGAAAUUUAAAGACAAGGUUUAUGUCAUUUCUAUGUUAUAUUUAACAUUGCCAUUAAAGUGCGAGGUUUGGCAUGCCACAAAACCAGGUUCAACCCACCAUUUUUUCCUUUAAAAAUGUCCUGUACCAAGUCAGGAAUAUGACCAUUGUUAUAUUAUAGUUCGUUUCUGUGUGUGUUACAAUUUAACGUUGCGUCGUUUGUUUUCUCUUGUUUUUGAGUGUAAAUUGACAUUGCGAUAAGACGUGUCACGGUACUUGUCUAUCCCAAAUUCAUGUAUUUGGUUUUGAUGUUAUAUUUGUUAUCUCUGUGGGAUUUUGUCUGAUGCUUGGUCCGUUUCUGUGUGUGUUAGUUUACAUUGUAGUGUUGUGUCGUUGUUCUCUCUUAUAUUUAUGCAUUUCCGUCAGUUUUAGUUUGUUACCCCGAUUUUGUUUUUUGUCCAUGGAUUUAUGAGUUUGAACAGCGGUAUACUACUGUUGCCUUUAUUUAUGACCAUAAAAGGAAGGUUGGGAUUGAUUUUGGGAGUUGAGGUCCCAACAGUUUAGGAAUUAGGGGCCAAAAAGGGGCCAAAUAAGCAUUAUUCUUGGUUUUCGCACCAUAACUUAAGUAUAAGUAAAUAGAAAUCUAUGAAAUUUAAACACAAGGUUUAUGACCAUAAAAGGAAGGUUGGGUUUGAUUUUGGGAGUUUUUGGUCCCAACAGUUUAGGAAUAAGGGGCCCAAAGGGUCCAAAAUUGAACUUUGUUUGAUUUCAUCAAAAAUUGAAUAAUUGGGGUUCUUUGAUAUGCUAAAUCUAACUGUGUAUGUAGAUUCUUAAUUUUUGGUCCGUUUUCAAAUUGGUCUACAUUAAGGUCCAAAGGGUCCAAAAUUAAACUUAGUUUGAUUUUAACAAAAAUUGAAUCCUUGGGGUUCUUUAAUAUGUUGAAUCUAAAAAUGUACUUAAAUUUUUGAUUAUUGGCCCAGUUUUCAAGUUGGUCCAAAUCGGGGUCCAAAAUUAAACUUUGUUUGAUUUCAUCAAAAAUUGAAUAAUUGGGGUUCUUUGAUAUGCCAAAUCUAACUGUGUAUGUAGAUUCUUAAUUUUUGGUCCCGUUUUCAAAUUGGUCUACAUUAAAGUCCAAAGGGCCCAAAAUUAAACUGUUUGAUUUUAACAAAAAUUGAAUUCUUGGGCUUUUUUGAUAUGCAUAUACUUAGAUUUUUGAUUAUGGGCCCAGUUUUCAAGUUGGUUCAAAUCAGGAUCCAAAAUUAUUAUAUUAAGUAUUCAGCAAUACCAAGAAAUCUUCAUUGCACAGUAUUGUGCAAUAGCAAGCAAUUUCAAUUGCACAGUAUGCGCAAUACCAAGAAAUCUUCAAUUGCACAGUAUUGCGCAAUAGCAAGAAAUCUUCAAUUGCACAGUAUUGCGCAAUAGCAAGAAAUAUCUAAUUGCACAAUAUUGUGCAAUAGCAAGAAAUUUUCAAUUGGAGUUAUCUUUCUUUGUCCAGAAUAGUAGUUGAAUCAACUUAAAUCAUUGUUUUAUACAAUAUACAAUGUAUAUUCACUUUUACUACCAACUGAUAAAAUUAAAACAAUCUUUACCAUUCAGUGAUAACAAGCACUUUAUUUUACAUUUUAAUAUUUUUAUGAUGUAUUUAAAUGAGUAGUUAUUGUUGCAAACUCCAUUAGGAAUUUGAAUUGAGAUCAGUUUUGGAAAAAGGGAAAGGGGGAUGUGAAAAAAAAAUGGGGGGGGGGGGUUAAAUUUUUCUCAUUUCAGAUUUCAUAAAUAAAAAGAAAAUUUCUUCAACAUUUUUUUGAGAGGAUUAAUAUCCAAACAGCAUAGUGAAUUGCUCAAAGGCAAAAAAAAAUUUAAGUUCAUUAGACCACAUUCAUUCUGUGUCAGAAACCUAUGCUGUGUCAACUAUUUAAUCACAAUCCAAAUUUAGAGCUGAAUCCAGCUUAAAUGUUGUGUCCAUACUUGCCCCAACUGUUCAGGGUUCAACCUCUGCGGUCGUAUAUAGCUGCGCCCUGCAGAGCAUCUGGUUGAUUAUUGGCCCAGUUUUCAAGUUGGUCAAAAUCGGUGUCCAAAAUUAAACUUUGUUUGAUUUCAACAAAAAUUGAAUCCUUGUGGUUCUUUGAUAUGCUGAAUCUAAACUUGUAUUAAGAUUUUUGCUUAUGGGGCCUGAGUUUUCAAGUUGGUCCAAAUCGUGGUCCAAAAUUAAACUUUGUUGGAUAUCAACAAAAAUUGAAUCCAUGAGAUUCUUUGAUAUGCUGAAUCUAAACAUGUAUUUAGAUUUUUUACUAUAGGCCAAGUUUUCAAGUUGGUUCAAAUUGGGGUCCAAAAUUAAACUUUGUUUGAUUUCAUCAAAAAUUGAAUAAUUGGGGGUUCUUUGAUAUGCCAAAUCUAACUGUGUAUGUAGAUUCUUAAUUUUUGGUCCCGUUUUCAAAUUGGUCUACAUUAAAGUCCAAAGGGCCCAAAAUUAAAACUGUUUGAUUUUAACAAAAAUUGAUUUCUUGGGCUUUUUUGAUAUGCAUAUACUUAGAUUUUUGAUUAUGGGCCCAGUUUUCAAGUUGGUUCAAAUCAGGAUCCAAAAUUAUUAUAUUAAGUAUUCAGCAAUACCAAGAAAUCUUCAAUUGCACAGUAUUGUGCAAUAGCAAGCAAUUUUCAAUUGCACAGUAUUGCGCAAUAGCAAGAAAUCUUCAAUUGCACAGUAUUGCGCAAUAGCAAGAAAUAUCUAAUUGCACAAUAUUGUGCAAUAGCAAGAAAUUUUCAAUUGGAGUUAUCUUUCUUUGUCCAGAAUAGUAGUUGAAUCAACUUAAAUCAUUGUUUUAUACAAUAUACAAUGUAUAUUCACUUUUACUACCAACUGAUAAAUUAAAACAAUCUUUACCAUUCAGUGAUAACAAGCACUUUAUUUUACAUUUUAAUAUUUUAUGAUGUAUUUAAAUGAGUAGUUAUUGUUGCAAACUCCAUUAGGAAUUUGAAUUGAGAUCAGUUUUGGAAAAAGGGAAAGGGGGGAUGUAAAAAAAAAUGGGGCGGGGGGGGGGGGGGGGGUUAAAUUUUUCUCAUUUCAGAUUUCAUAAAUAAAAAGAAAAUUUCUUCAAACAUUUUUUUGAGAGGAUUAAUAUCCAACAGCAUAGUGAAUUGCUCAAAGGCAAAAAAAAAUUUAAGUUCAUUAGACCACAUUCAUUCUGUGUCAGAAACCUAUGCUGUGUCAACUAUUUAAUCACAAUCCAAAUUUAGAGCUGAAUCCAGCUUAAAUGUUGUGUCCAUACUUGCCCCAACUGUUCAGGGUUCAACCUCUGCGGUCGUAUAUAGCUGCGCCCUGCGGAGCAUCUGGUUGAUUAUUGGCCCAGUUUUCAAGUUGGUCAAAAUCGGUGUCCAAAAUUAAACUUUGUUUGAUUUCAACAAAAAUUGAAUCCUUGUGGUUCUUUGAUAUGCUGAAUCUAAACUUGUAUUAAGAUUUUUGCUUAUGGGGCCUGAGUUUUCAAGUUGGUCCAAAUCGUGGUCCAAAAUUAAACUUUGUUGGAUAUCAAAAAAAAUUGAAUCCAUGAGAUUCUUUGAUAUGCUGAAUCUAAACAUGUAUUUAGAUUUUUUACUAUAGGCCCAGUUUUCAAGUUGGUUCAAAUUGGGGUCCAAAAUUAAACUUUGUUUGAUUUCAACAAAAAUUGAAUAUAUAUGCUGGAUCUAACCAUGUAUUUAGAUUUUUGAUAUUGGACCAUAAUAGGUAAAUGUCCAAUUUAAAAAUUUUAAGUUUUUAAGUUUAAGUUCUUAGAACCACAUUCAUUUCUGUGUCAGAAACCUAUGUUGUGUCAACUACUUAAUCACAAUCCAAAUUCAGAGCUGUAUCAAGCUUGAAUGUUGUGUCCAUACUUGUCCCAACUGUUCAGGGUUCAAAUUCUGUGGUGGUAUAAAGCUGUGCCCUGCGGAGCAUCUGGUUAGGGACUUGAAAUUCAAAAAUUGAAGGGAAUAAAAGGGUUAUCAAACAGUAUUUUAGUAAAUCGUUUUUAUUCUUAUAAUCAUGUCGUUUUCAAUGAAGAUCUACAUAGGUGGCCUUUCUGAAGGGACGACAUCAAAAGUUCAAUGUAGGAUAAAAAACUUAAUUCACAUAGUUUUUUCACUGACACCCCCACCCCCUCUUAACUUAAUUUGGGAAAAAUUGAUUUACCAAUAGGGAUACAUGUAAAAAUCGAUUUUAGAUAUACAAAACUUGUAGAAUUUUAACCCCCCACCCCCAAACUAUUUGAUUUAAGUUUUUUAUCCUACAUGGAUCUUUUGAUGUCUUCCGUAAUUCUGUAUUAGUUUUUGAUGAUUCACAUUAAUAAAUCAUUGUUACAGUAAUUAAAGACCAAACCUUUUAAGAUGUUGGACAUAAUAAUUUAAUCUUUUCAAGAUAUUUAUAAAGAAUAAUUUCUAUAUAUGAUCAAAAGGUUUCUAUAAAUAUUAAAAAGAUGACCUUAUAUAGUUGAAAAGUAUCUGAUAGGCUUAAGGAUAUGAAUAACAUUGUAUAAUGAAUAUACAAAUAAAUAAACAUAAAUCUAUUUAAAUAUCUAUUUAAUCCAUUAAAGCCCAUCUUAUGUCAUCAGAGGACAAUAUUGACAGGUCAAAUCAAGGUCAAAUGUUUAUAAAGAUCCUUUAUUUAUAUGAAGAUGAGGUCAGUUAUUCAAUUUUGACCACAUUGUCAAAACCCCAGAAAUUAAACCUUUGGACUUAGUUAGAGAGAGGUAUAUUUUUGAAGGUAUGUAUCGUUAUCGGAAAACUAAAGAAAACAAAAAAGAAAUAUGCAUCUUAAAUUUAUAUUAUAUUUUCAUCUAAUUUCCUCUAAAUUUUGAUACUGAAAAUAAGAAUUAUUUUUAAUUGGAUAAUUUUUUUAAAGACCAUCCCUAUUUUAAAUAUUUCAAAUAUUAUCAUCAAAAUAAUACUUAAUUUGGUAAAGAAAAGCAUUCAAUUUUACAUAACAAAUAAAUAUUUGUAAAUUGGCCUAGAACAUCAACUUUGGAAUAGUUGAAAACCUUAUCUUAUUUCUGUGAAAAAUAGGCCAAAUAAUGCCCUUGGCACCCUUUAUAUGUUUUUUAGCUCACCUGGCCCGAAGGGCCAAGUGAGCUUUUCCCAACACUUGGCGUCCGGCGUCCGGCGUCGUCCUGCGUUAACUUUUACAAAAAUCUUCUCCUCUGAAACUACUGGGCCAAAUUGACCCAAACUUGGCCACAAUCAUCAUUGGGGUAUCUUGUUUAAAAAAUGUGUCCGGUGACCCGGCCAACCAACCAAAAUGGCCGCCAUGGCUAAAAAUAAAACAUAGGGGUAAAAUGCAGUUUUUGGCUUAUAACUCAAAAACCAAAGCAUUUAGAGCAAAUCUGACAUAGGGUAAAAUUAUUUAUCAGGUCAAGAUCUAUCUGCCCUGAAAUUUUCAGAUGAAUCGGAUAACUCGUUGUUGGGUUCCUGCCCCUGAAUUGGUAAUUUUAAGGAAAUUUUACUGUUUUUGGUUAUUAUCUUGGAAAAUUAUUAUAGAUAGAAAUAAACUGUAAACAGCAAUAAUGUUCAGCAAAGUAAGAUUUACAAAUACCCAUAUAGGAGUUAUUGCCCUUUAUAGUCAAUUUUUAACCAUUUUUCGUAAAUCUUAGUAAUCUUUUACAAAAAUCUUCUCUGAAACUACUGGGCCAAAUUUAUCCAAACUUGGCCACAAUUAUCUUUGGGGUAUCUAGUUUAAAAAAUGUGUCCGGUAACCCGGCCAACCAACCAAGAUGGCCACCAUGGCUAAAAAUAGAACAUAGCGGUAAAAUGGGGUUUUUGGCUUAUAACUCAAAAACCAAAGCAUUUAGAGCAAAUCUGACGGGGUAAAAUUGUUUAUCAGGUCAAGAUCUAUCUGCCCUGAAAUUUUCAGAUGAAUCGAACAACCCGUUGUUGGUUUGCCCCUGAAUUGAUAAUUUUAAGGAAAUUUUGCUGUUUUUGGUUAUUAUCUUGAAUAUUAUUAUAGAUAGAGAUAAACUGUAAACAGCAAUAAUGUUCAGCAAAGUAAGAUUUACAAAUAAGUCAACGUGACCGAAAUGGUCAGUUGACCCCGUAAGGAGUUAUUGUCCUUUAUAGUCAAUUUUCAACAAUUUUUAUAAAAUUUGUAAAUUUUUACUUACAUUUUCCGCUGAAACUACUGGGCCAAGUUCAUUAUAGAUAGAGAUAAUUGUAAGCAGCAAGGAUGUUCAGUAAAGUAAGAUGUACAAACACAUCACCAUCACCAAAAUACAAUUUUGUCAUGAAUCCAUCUGCUUGCUUUGUUUAACAGUCACAUAGACCAAGGUGAGCGACACAGGCUCUUUAGAGCCUCUAGUUAUUGUAUAAAUCAGGCUGCUGGCCUUCUUUUUUGAAUUGUUUCAUAUUUUUCCAUGCAGGGGCCUUAAAUACAUAAUAUAUAUCUUUAAUACUGUAUGGCUUUUGCUUAUCGUGUUUAUAGUGUACAAUGUAUAUUUUAGUCUCUGGAUAAUAGUUGUUUUAUCGGCAACCAUACCACAUCUACUUUCUCUGUUUAACUGUAAACUGUCCUAUUAAGAUAAUUUCAGUUUAGUAAUUUUAAUUUUAAUUUAAAAAUGGUUGAAAUUUCAUUCAUAAAAUUUAGCUGAUUCACACUUAAUUAUUUAUUGAGCAAAUUAGAUUUAAAAAUUGCACUGGUAUAUCGAAUUUAGGUAGGUAUAUUAUUGGACAAAUAUUGUUUGCUACACAGGAAUUUGAAGGUUAUAAUUGUUAUCAACAAUUAUGUGUGUAUAGAUAGAGAGUCUAUUAUUGGCAAAGAUUUUAUUCAAAUUACUUAAUUUAUAUGAAAGGUUUACAUAUUUAAGAUAAAGACUUCGUUGUGGUAGUUAAUAUACAAUAUACCAUAAUACACUUUGGUAAGUUUAUUUUAUGUACAUUAGUAGAAUACCCAAUGGGUAGUUACAUCUAUGGUAGAAGUAUUUUAUAUUAAAAAGGGAUACUGAGUAUUCACUCAUUUUGUUAUCUACUAUUCGAGAAGUCAAAACAUUUUAGUAAAAUUUCAGACGUAAAAUUAUGCAGAAUUUCAAUGCCUACUGAAGAAAUUGUAUCAAAAUUCAUUAAAUAAAGAUGAACAUCAAAAUCUUUCCAUAUUAGCUUACACACAGUGACCAGAGAUUCAAAAUGUCUACUUUUAAAUUUGUUGCAUUUCCGUCAAAAUUUUUGGUUCACAUGUAAUUAGUGAACAUCAUUCUUCUUUCACAUGUUGAUCUAGUCAGGGAGGUUGAAAAAAAAUAAUGUUCUAAAUAUUGGAAGAAUUAUUUGGCAAAUUAAUUUCUUAUAAUAAAUAAAUUAAAUAGUGCAGGGAUACAGCCGGUCCCGGGCCUCUAUUUGGUAAAUGACGUCAUUAAGGUCUCAGUGCUUUUUAAAAUUUACAAACUUUUCCGGUGGAGGACAUAACUUGAAAGUGGACUAUUGUUCUUUAUGCAUUUGACAUGGUAUUAAGGAGGGGGAAUAUUAAUAUAUCCACAGAAUGGAUCAUUUUUGACUAUAAAAAUGUCUUUAUUUUAGGAGGUGGGUGCAGCAUUGAUGGGUGUUAGGAUUGGGAAAAUACAUAUAAAAAUUGUUGUAAAAAUUUUGAAUGAAAUUAAAAGUUUUAUCUAAAACCUAUAUGGUCAUAAUUCAGAGAUUGCUGAAAACUUUAGUAUAAUGCUGCAGAUCUUAUAGGGUCUUGAAUAACCUUGAACAACGAGUAAGUCCACAAUAUACAGUAAAGCUUAAUUCAAGGCCCCUGUAUGACAAAUAUUUGUCCUUGGAUAUUAUUGUAGAUAACAUAUGUUGUAACGGUUAUUAAACAUGUUUAAAACUGGAAGGAAGUACAAACGUAUAAGGAAUUUGUGGGGUGAAAAUUAAGUGUAAAUAAAAAUCUCAAACACAUCGUAAUUACUAUUUUUUUAGACAAUUUUUUUCCCAUUUUGGUUGACAUAAAAUUAUGUUUUUGAAAUUUUAUUUUUCUUUUCUAUACUUAAAAAAAUGAUGAAAUGUAUACUGUAUAUUUCCUCAGUAUAUUUCAUCCACUAUAAAAUUUUAAAUCAGCAGUUAUAAAAGUGUACUUGAUAUGUGAUGAAUAUCACCCCUUAAAAGUUGAAAUGGUAUAGAUCCAGACAUACUGGUGCACCUGUACUUAGUUUAGAGAUGUAAGAAAAAUGACACCGGAAGGAUGAAUUCAGGAAUUUCUGUGAAAUAGAGAGCUUAAAUCAAAACUUUGGAUAUAUUUUAUAAUUUUUUUAUUGAAAGGUAAAAUAUAUUUCUCAUUUAUGCACAAAUUAACAAAAAAAAAUAAGUAGAAAUAAUUUUGUCCUUUUGAAGUUAUUGAAUGUGUACAUGAUAUCUACAUGUAAGCAUUUGUAAAAAAUAAAUAAUUCAUUGUGAUAUGUGAAAAAUUAAAAGUCACAUAAUCAAAGCUAUUAUCAAUCUGAGGUAUAUGCUUUUUUUUAUUGUGGAGAAUAUUCAAUACUGUAGAGAAUAAUUAAGUCAUGUAUACAAUUUGUGAGUAGCAUAUUUUUAUCUUUUGAUAAAGGUUUGACGUUUUAAUGGUAUUCUUGAUAAUUUUAUUUGAAACAUUUUUCCUAGAAAGUAUGAAAUGUAUACUGUGCAUGUAGUUUGAUAAUUGUCAAAAUUUUAAUUCAUCCAUCAAGUUAAGGCUUGAAUGUACAGUGGCGGAUCCAGCCAUUUGAAAAAGGGGGGGUUCCCAACCCAGGACAAAGGGGGGGGGUUCCAACUAUAUGUCCCCAUUCAAAUGCAUUGAUCGUCCAAAAAAGGGGGAGGUUCCAACCCCGGAACCCUCCCCCUGGAUCCGCCACUGAUGUAUGUGAAAAGUAAAUGUCACCCAUCAGAGACAAAAAAAUGAUAACUCUAUAUAUAUAUUGAAUUAAAUUAAAAAUACAUCUGUCUUUUAUCUGGUACAAAGAUCAAUCUUCUUCCUGCAUUGGUUUAUAUCUCCAUGGAAAAAAUGGCUAAUUAUGUGAUAAAUUGGUACGUAAUAAUGAGUUGUCAUGUUACAGCUGUUUAUUACAUAACUCCACAAGACAUGAUAACAACGCGAAUUUAUAGCAAAAUAGAAAUGAAAAUAUAUAGUUUUACCAGAAUUUUGAUACAAAACAUGACUGAACUGAAAUACAGACUUUGGCAUUUUUGAAAGCAGUUUUUAGCUCACCUGGCCUAAAGGGCCAUGUGAGCUUUUCUCAUCACUUGGCGUCCGUCGUCCGUCAUCCGUCGUCCGUCGUCGUUGUUAACUUUUUACAUUUUGAACUUCUUCUAGAGAACCACUGAAUGGAACUAAACCAAACAUGGCAUGAAUGUUCCUUAUGAGGUGCUGACCAAGUGUUGUUACUUUGUAGCUGAUCCAUCAUCCAAGAUGGCCGCAAGCGGGGGACUUAGUUUAACAUAGGACCCAACAUAUGACUUCUUUUAGAGAACCACUGAAUGGAAUAAAACCAAACAUGGCAUGAAUGUUCCCUAUGAGGUGCUGACCAAGUGUUGUUACUUUGUAGGUGAUCCAUCAUCCAAAAUGGCCGCCAGCGGGGGACUUAGUUUAACAUAGGACCCAAUGGGAAAUGCAUACAAAUGACUUCUUUUAGAGAACCACUGAAUGGACAAAACCAAACAUGGCAUGAAUGUUCCCUAUGAGGUGCUGACCAAGUGUUGUUACUUUGUAGCCGAUCCAUCAUCCAAUGUGGCCGCCAGUGGGGGACUUAGUUUAACAUAGGACCCUAUGGGAAAUGCAUACGAAUGACUUCUUUUAGAGAACCACUGAAUGGAAUGAAACCAAAAAUGGCAUGAAUGUUCCUUAUAAGAUGCUGACAAAGUGUUGUUACUUUGUAGGUGAUCCAUCAUCCAAAAUGGCCGCCAGCGGGGGACUUAGUUUAACAUUGGACCCAAUGGGAAAUGCAUACAAAUGACUUCUUUUAGAGAACCACUGAAUGGAAGGAAACCAAACAUGGCAUGAAUGUUUCUUAUAAGGUGCUGACCAAGGGUUGUUACUUUGUAGCCAAUCCAUCAUCCAAGAUGGCCGCCAGUGGAGGACUUAGUUUAACAUAGGACCCUAUGGGAAACGCAUACAAAUGACUUCUUUUAAAGAACCACUGAAUAGAAUGAAACCAAACAUGGCAUGAAUGUUCCCUAUGAGGUGCUGACCAAGUGUUGUUACUUUGUAGCCGAUCCAUCAUCCAAGAUGGCUGCCAGCGGGGGACUUAGUUUAACAUAGGACCCUAUGGGAAAUACAUACAAAUGUCUUCUUAUAGAGAACCACUGAAUUGAAUGAAGUCAAACAUAGCAUGAAUGUUCCUUAUGACAUGCUGACCAAGUGUUGUUACUUUGUGGCCAAUCCAUCAACCAAGGUGGCUUCCAGCAGGGGACUUGGUUUAACAUAAGACCCUAUAGGAAAUACAUACAAAUGUCUUCUUUUAGAGAACCUGACUGAAUUGAAUGAAAGCAAACAUAGCAUAAAUGUUCCUUUCUUAAUGAGGUGCUGGUCAAGUGUUGUUACUUUGUAGCCAAAUUUUUAUAUGAUUUCAAAAACCCAAGUAGAAUCAGGUGAGCGAUACAGGCUUUUGAGAGCCUCUAGUUUAUUAUCAAAAUGACAUUUAGGCAGAGAAAACACAAGUCAAAUGUUGCCAAAAACAAGAAAGUUUUUAUUUGAAUUCUUAAGAAGUUUGUGUUGCUUAGUCUUUAUAUAUAGUUUCUAUGUUGUGUCUUGUGUACUAUUAUUUGUGUGUUUGUCUUUUUCUUUUUUAGCCAUGGCGAUGUCAGUUUUUUUUUACUUCAAUAAUGAGUUUGAACAGUCCCUCUGAUAUCUUUCGCCCCUCUUUGAAGGUAAAAUAAAUUUGAAUGCAAAUCUUAAAAAUCCUGAAAUGAGCCCAAUCCAUUUCAUCAGCUGUCUAAAUUCACCCAGCCUAAUAAUUGCCAUCAUUUGUAUAUUUACAAAUAGUAUAUGUUACCUAUGUGGGAGUAUCUGGCUGAGGUAUUUAUUUUGUACUUGAUAAAUAUAUAUUUCAUUUUAUUGGGUGGUAUUAAAUGUUUCUUCAAAGAUAUAUAUAACAAGGUAAACAUAUGGAAUUGAUUGAAAUUGAACAUGUUAAAAGGUAUUUCAGAAGUGCAUCAAAUAUCUUUGUUGUUAGAUGUUAAAGGUGACAUAACUUUCAAUAAACAUUAUUUUGAUGCAAUUGAAGUUUAAAAACAGGAACGUGACUGAUCUGAGGAAAAUAUUUAUUAUGGAAGGAAAGUUAAAAUCAUUAGAUAUAAAUAGAAAUAUUUAACCAACAAUUACAUGUAUAUUUCAAUCAACAACCCUGAUAUUCCUUUGUCAAUUUUAAAUGUCACAUGUAAACUUUUGAACUUAGAUAUAUAGGUACUAAUACAUGUAGCAUUGUUGAUAAUGCCAAAUGAGUUUUGUUUUUUGGUCCAGGUAGUUUAUGAUGAAGUUGAAGUACAAUCAACUUGAAACUUAGUACACAUGUUCCCUAUGAGAUGAUCUUUUUAGUUUUGACCCCAAUUUCACGGUCAACUGAACAGAGAAGUAAGUGGGAGUUGGUGAUCCUGUACUAUUAAAUCAUUAACAUGGUCAAUUAUAACUUUAAUGUAGAUUCACCUGGUUUCUUUACUUAUCUUGGUCACUGAUGAACCAGUUUACAUGAUCCUGGCAAAAAGAAAAGUCAUAUAUAUAUUUAUAUAUAAUAAAAACUAAAACAAAAAUUCCCAUAAGUCUCGGCCAUUACGGUCUUCUUCAUUGGAAUAAAUUACAACAUUGAACCAACAAUUACAUAGCUUGGAUACAUAACGUUAUAACUGCUGUGACUUAUAAUUGAUGCAAACUUAGGAAAUCAUGUUAAAAGUCAAUUACCGGAAGUUGGCGUCCUGUCCCUGUUUAUGGCGGAAGAGAUUCUUUAUAUCAAUUUCAUGAAUUGUUAAUUGUUUCUUGAAUGGAACUCUAAUAAUUCUGAAAUGAAUCAACUUUUAGUGAUUGAUAGAAAAAUUAGGGGAUGAGGUAUGAAUUUGGCAAUGAGAAAACUGUACUAUAAUUAAGUCUUCCAUAAAAGGCCUUGACAUGAAAUGUGAAAUAAUUCAAAUAAGAAAAACUAACUGCCUUAUUUAUGAAAUAACUAUUAAUGAAAAACAAAAGGGACACAUGCACAGUAUGAAUAAAAAGCCUUAUUUUUGUACAUUUUGUUGAAAAGGAACUGACAUUAAUGACAUUGAUGCAAGACAGAGCUAGUCACCACUUAAAUUGCAUUGCAGCAUUUUUUUUCCUUCUUGCUCUCAUUAAUGGAUUUGACCUGGAUCUGUUUUGGAGACUCAUUGGCUUUAGGGAUGCCUCAAGACUAAUUGUAUAUUUAUAGAUUGACCUGGAUCUGCUUUGGGGACUCAUUGGCUUUAGGGAUGCCUCAAGACUAAUUGUAUAUUUAUAGAUUGACCUGGAUCUGCUUUGGAGACUCAUUGGCUUAGGGAUGCCUCAAGACUAAUUGUAUAUUUACAGAUUGACCUGUUUCUGCUUUGGGGACUCAUUGCUUUAGGGAUGCCUCAAGACUAAUGUAUAUUUAUAGAUUGACCUGGAUCUGCUUUGGGGACUCAUUGGCUUUAGGGAUGCCUCAAGACUAAUUGUAUAUUUAUAGAUUGACCUGGAUCUGCUUUGGAGACUCAUUGGCUUUAGGGAUGCCUCAAGACUAAUUGUAUAUUUACAGAUUGACCUGGAUCUGCUUUGGGGACUCAUUGGCUUUAGGGAUGCCUCAAGACUAAUUGUAUAUUUAUAGUUUUACCUGGCUUUGAGGGAUGCAUUAAUGGCUUUUGGGGAUGCAUGGAGGCUGAUUGUACAUCUGUAGAUUGAAAGGAAGCUUGAUGUAAAAUCUGUUACAAUUACAACUCAAGUAUGAUAUCAGACGAAUCAUGAUUGACAGGUUUCGUGCAGUUGCAUAAUAUUAGAUUGCAGUUGUUAGGCUUGAUUAAAUUUUCAAUGAAAGGUGGUUUUUUGGUAAGGGAAAUUUGCAGUUUGAAAUUGUUAAUUGCACAUUUCACAGAAAUUUUCUAUGCAAAAAUGUCUGUUAAUUGGGUAAAUCAAUUGCCUAUGGCAUUGUGUUGAAAAUUAGAUCAUUUAAUUUUCACUGAUGCUUUAAAAAAUGUAGCAUUCAUGCGUAUGUACUUUUGGGCUGCUUUCCAAGUUCAGUGAACGUAGAUGCAACAGAAAUUGAGUAUUUGCAGUAUUUAUAGAAGAAAAAAAUACAAGGAAGUACUCUGGUAAUUUUAAAAAGAGCUACAUGUAUUUUAAAAUUGUCUCUAAAAAAAUCAAGUUCUAAACAACUUGAGAUACUACAUGAGGCUGCAAUCAGAGCUGCUGUAAAAUUUUGAAAACAAAAUAUUUCAAACAUUAAUAAAGGGAGGAAUGUAGUAAAGGCUGUGCAUAUUAUACACAACUGGGUACUAUAAAAGCUAAAUAGGGUACAAUGGAGAAUCACUUUGGAAGAUUUGACAUUGUUUGCCUCCCUUGGAGUUAGUAGUAGAUUCACCCUUAGCUUAAAGUUGCUGUUAAUGUGUUAUUACAAUGCAUCUAUAUAUAGCUACAUUUCUAAAGAUUACAAUGGGAAAAAUAUCAGACAGUCAUGAGCCAUUGGCUGCUAUAAAUUAGUCCAUUAUGAAAAGUCUUAGAUUGACAUCCCCAUCCUCAUCAAUAAACAAAUAAAAAAAUUAUAAUUUGAAAUAUGGCUAUUUUAUUUUUAUUUUGAUAGAAGUUUAAAAUAAUAAUUUGCAAAAAUAUAAAGAAUUAAAUGACAGUGAAAUAUGGUCUUUGGACUAUGACAGUGCUAGCCUCUUUUUGAUAUUGGAAAGACAAUGCAAUUUUGUAUCAAUGUUUUUUCUUAUUUCAGGUGGAUAUUCUAGUCAGCCAUGGGGGCAGAAGAAAGUAAAGGAAUAAAUUAUGGCUUGAUGGGGCCUACUACAGUGGUGGCCAACAUGAACCGUCAAGCCCAAGCUGCCAGACCAUGGUCUCUUUUACAUAUGUGUUCAGUGGACCAGUGGAAAUCAGGGCAUGCAG